GAAAUUUGUUUUGCCAGUAGAAAAUGAAAACAACACGUUUUAUAAAUUUCAUGCGUUCGAAGCGCUUUUCUGGAUUUACCUGAUUUAAGUGACUAAAAGAUGUUUCAACGAGAAAAUCGCAAUGUUUCAAACGUUUUGUAUUUUGCAAAAACGUUUCAGUUAAUUUGUUUGAAACUGCUGUUAAUUAUAGAUGAUUAUAGAUUCGAUCAAAUAAAUUUGAGAGCGCCGA
rnacentral:lncRNA from 1 species